UUUUUAGUGGCAUGUCCUGGACCCGAAGCGGAGUGAUCUACCCAUGACCAGUGUGAAGCGAUGGUAAGACGUCGUGGAGGCGCGAACCCACUUAGGUUGAAAACUGAGGGGAUGAGUUGUGGGUAGGGGUGAAAGGCCAAUCAAACUUCGUGAUAGCUGGUUCUCCCCGAAAUGCAUUUAGGUGCAGCGUCGUGUGUUUCUUCAUGGAGGUAGAGCUACUGGUUGGUUUAGCGGGACUACUAUCUUAGCGACAUCAGCCAAACUCCGAAUACUGUGAAGUGAGAGCGCGGCAGUGAGACAGCGGGGGAUAAGCUUCGUUGUCGAGAGGGAAACAGCCCAGAUCGCCGGUUAAGGCCCCUAAGAGUGUACUAAGUGGAAAAGGAUGUGGGAUCGCUUAGACAGCCAGGAGGUUGGCUUAGAAGCAGCCAUCCUUGAAAGAGUGCGUAAUAGCUCACUGGUCGAGUGGUUUUGCGCCGACAAUGUAGUGGGGCUCAAGUACACCGCCGAAGCCGCGGAACUCAACACGUUGUGUGUUGGGUUGGUAGGGGAGCGUCGUGUGAUCCGUUGAAGGUGCGGGGUAACCCAGUGCUGGAGGUUAUGCGAGUGAGAAUGCAGGCAUGAGUAGCGAAUGAUGAGUGGGAAACUCAUCCGCCGGAUGACUAAGGGUUCCUGGGUCAAGUUAAUCUUCCCAGGGUGAGUCGGGGCCUAAGGCGAGGCCGACAGGCGUAGUCGAUGGUUAACGGGUUGAUAUUCCCGUACCCGUAUGUGUGCGACCAAUGGUGAAGCAGUGAUACUAACCGCCCUGAACGAUGCUUCAUGCACUUUGUGUGUGUUGUGUUGGGAUGCGUGGGACCUGAUCUGUUGUAGUCAAGCGAUGGGGUGACGCAGGAAGGUAGCCGAGCCACUGAUUGGAUUGUGGUGUAAGCGUGUGGCCCGCUGUAUUGGUAAAUCCGUACAGC
rnacentral:rRNA from 1 species